rnacentral:rRNA from 1 species
GAUGAACGCUGGCGGCGUGCCUAAUACAUGCAAGUCGAGCGAACGGACGAGAAGCUUGCUUCUCUGAUGCUAGCGGCGGACGGGUGAGUAACACGUGGAUAACCUACCUAUAAGACUGGGAUAACUUCGGGAAACCGGAGCUAAUACCGGAUAAUAUUUUGAACCGCAUGGUUCAAAAGUGAAAGACGGUCUUGCUGUCACUUAUAGAUGGAUCCGCGCUGCAUUAGCUAGUUGGUAAGGUAACGGCUUACCAAGGCAACGAUGCAUAGCCGACCUGAGAGGGUGAUCGGCCACACUGGAACUGAGACACGGUCCAGACUCCUACGGGAGGCAGCAGUAGGGAAUCUUCCGCAAUGGGCGAAAGCCUGACGGAGCAACGCCGCGUGAGUGAUGAAGGUCUUCGGAUCGUAAAACUCUGUUAUUAGGGAAGAACAUAUGUGUAAGUAACUGUGCACAUCUUGACGGUACCUAAUCAGAAAGCCACGGCUAACUACGUGCCAGCAGCCGCGGUAAUACGUAGGUGGCAAGCGUUAUCCGGAAUUAUUGGGCGUAAAGCGCGCGUAGGCGGUUUUUUAAGUCUGAUGUGAAAGCCCACGGCUCAACCGUGGAGGGUCAUUGGAAACUGGAAAACUUGAGUGCAGAAGAGGAAAGUGGAAUUCCAUGUGUAGCGGUGAAAUGCGCAGAGAUAUGGAGGAACACCAGUGGCGAAGGCGACUUUCUGGUCUGUAACUGACGCUGAUGUGCGAAAGCGUGGGGAUCAAACAGGAUUAGAUACCCUGGUAGUCCACGCCGUAAACGAUGAGUGCUAAGUGUUAGGGGGUUUCCGCCCCUUAGUGCUGCAGCUAACGCAUUAAGCACUCCGCCUGGGGAGUACGACCGCAAGGUUGAAACUCAAAGGAAUCGACGGGGACCCGCACAAGCGGUGGAGCAUGUGGUUUAAUUCGAAGCAACGCGAAGAACCUUACCAAAUCUUGACAUCCUUUGACAACUCUAGAGAUAGAGCCUUCCCCUUCGGGGGACAAAGUGACAGGUGGUGCAUGGUUGUCGUCAGCUCGUGUCGUGAGAUGUUGGGUUAAGUCCCGCAACGAGCGCAACCCUUAAGCUUAGUUGCCAUCAUUAAGUUGGGCACUCUAAGUUGACUGCCGGUGACAAACCGGAGGAAGGUGGGGAUGACGUCAAAUCAUCAUGCCCCUUAUGAUUUGGGCUACACACGUGCUACAAUGGACAAUACAAAGGGCAGCGAAACCGCGAGGUCAAGCAAAUCCCAUAAAGUUGUUCUCAGUUCGGAUUGUAGUCUGCAACUCGACUACAUGAAGCUGGAAUCGCUAGUAAUCGUAGAUCAGCAUGCUACGGUGAAUACGUUCCCGGGUCU